UACAAUAAAUGCAAUAUGUAGGUACAAUAAUUUGAAUUUUUGAGUUUAACAUAGCAUGGGGUGAGUUUGGGGCUUGGACAUAGUUAGUUAGUAUUAAUUUUAAGUUAGUAUUUUGUAGGCAUGGAUUUCAGACAUUGACAUGAUUGGUAACAUUAUCAGCUUGCAUGUUUGUUUACAUUUUUAAAAUGAAAUUAUUUUGCAAUAAACAUUAAAAUUUUAGACUAACAUUGUUUUAUUUAUUUCUUUUCAGGUACCCCCAUCAGAAGGACAGGAGCACCGAGUCGCAGAGAGCCUCAGGAGUCAUCACAGCAUCCCUCGCUGCCGUCAUUUGAUAAGAUUGCCGUUCAUCAGGUAGAGGAGAUGCAGUGAGUUGCCCACGCAGCUGUCAUUGCAUUUUUUGAGAGCUGCUGUCUAUAUGGUGGUGGAGUCGUCUCGUGGCAAAGAAGUCGUCAGAGAGGAUUGUGGCUCGGUCUGUCACCGAAGGAAGCCAGGUGCGCCGCGUCUUGUGGCCAUAGCGUCAGGAUU